rnacentral:rRNA from 1 species
AGUGAACGCUGGCGGUAGGCCUAACACAUGCAAGUCGAACGGCAGCACAGUAAGAGCUUGCUCUUACGGGUGGCGAGUGGCGGACGGGUGAGGAAUACAUCGGAAUCUACUUUUUCGUGGGGGAGAACGUAGGGAAACUUACGCUAAUACCGCAUACGACCUACGGGUGAAAUCAGGGGAUCUUCGGCUCUUGCGCGAUUGAAUGAGCCGAUGUCGGAUUAGCUAGUUGGCGGGGUAAAGGCCCACCAAGGCGACGAUCCGUAGCUGGUCUGAGAGGAUGAUCAGCCACACUGGAACUGAGACACGGUCCAGACUCCUACGGGAGGCAGCAGUGGGGAAUAUUGGACAAUGGGCGCAAGCCUGAUCCAGCCAUACCGCGUGGGUGAAGAAGGCCUUCGGGUUGUAAAGCCCUUUUGUUGGGGAAGAAAAGCAGCAGGUUAAUACCCCGCUGUUCUGACGGUACCCAAAGAAUAAGCACCGGCUAACUUCGUG